rnacentral:rRNA from 1 species
CUAGUGGCGGACGGGUGAGUAACGCGUGGGUAACCUGCCCUAUACAGGGGGAUAACAACCAGAAAUGGUUGCUAAUACCGCAUAAGCGCACAGGACCGCAUGGUCCGGUGUGAAAAACUCCGGUGGUAUAGGAUGGACCCGCGUUGGAUUAGCCAGUUGGCAGGGUAACGGCCUACCAAAGCGACGAUCCAUAGCCGGCCUGAGAGGGUGAACGGCCACAUUGGGACUGAGACACGGCCCAG